rnacentral:rRNA from 1 species
AAAGGAAUUGACGGGGGCCCGCACAAGCGGAGGAACAUGUGGUUUAAUUCGAUGAUACGCGAGGAACCUUACCCGGGCUUGAAAUGCAGAGGAAUAUAGUGGAAACAUUAUAGUCAGCAAUGAUCUCUGUGUAGGUGCUGCAUGGUUGUCGUCAGCUCGUGCCGUGAGGUGUCGGCUUAAGUGCCAUAACGAGCGCAACCCUUAUCAUUAGUUACUAACAGGUUAAGCUGAGGACUCUAAUGAGACUGCCACCGUAAGGUGUGAGGAAGGUGGGGAUGACGUCAAAUCAGCACGGCCCUUACGUCCGGGGCGACACACGUGUUACAAUGGGAGGUACAGAGGGUUGCUACCACGCGAGUGGAUGCUAAUCUUAAAAAGCCUCUCUCAGUUCGGAUCGAAGUCUGCAACUCGACUUCGUGAAGCUGGAUUCGCUAGUAAUCGCGCAUCAGCCAUGGCGCGGUGAAUACGUUCCCGGGCCUUGUACACACCGCCCGU